UCAGAGUGAACGCUGGCGGCGUGCUUAACACAUGCAAGUCGAACGAUGAACCUUAGCUUGCUAAGGGGAUUAGUGGCGCACGGGUGAGUAAUAUAUAGAUAAUGUACCUCUUAGUCUGGGAUAGCCAUUGGAAACGAUGAUUAAUACUAGAUACUCCUUCUCAUUCUAAUGUGAGUCGGGAAAGUUUUUUCGCUAAGAGAUCAGUCUAUAUCCCAUCAGUUAGUUGGUAGGGUAAUGGCCUACCAAGGCAAUGACGGGUAGCGGGUUUGAGAGGAUGAUCCGCCACACUGGUACUGAGACACGGACCGGACUCCUACGGGAGGCAGCUGUGAGGAAUAUUGCACAAUGGAGGAAACUCUGAUGCAGCAACGCCGCGUGGAGGAUGACGCAUUUCGGUGUGUAAACUCCUUUUAUGAGUCAAGAAAAUGACGGUAGCUCAUGAAUAAGCACCGGCUAACUCCGUGCCAGCAGCCGCGGUAAUACGGAGGGUGCAAGCGUUACUCGGAAUCACUGGGCGUAAAGGACGCGUAGGCGGGUUGGCAAGUCUGAUGUGAAAUCCUAUGGCUCAACCAUAGAACUGCAUUGGAAACUGCUAACCUAGAGUGUGGGAGGGGGAGAUGGAAUUAGUGGUGUAGGGGUAAAAUCCGUAGAUAUCACUAGGAAUACCGAAAGCGAAGGCGAUCUCCUGGAACAUGACUGACGCUAAGGCUUGAAAGCGUGGGGAGCAAACGGGAUUAGAUACCCCGGUAGUCCACGCCCUAAACGAUGUUCACUAGUCGUCGGGAUGCUUGUCAUCUCGGUGAUGCACUUAACAGAUUAAGUGAACCGCCUGGGGAGUACGGUCGCAAGAUUAAAACUCAAAGGAAUAGACGGGGACCCGCACAAGUGGUGGAGCAUGUGGUUUAAUCCGAAAAUACGCGAAGAACCUUACCUAGCCUUGACAUUGAUAGAACGGACCAGAGAUGGACCGGUGCCCUUCGGGGAACUUGAAAACAGGUGCUGCACGGCUGUCGUCAGCUCGUGUCGUGAGAUGUUGGGUUAAGUCCCGCAACGAGCGCAACCCUCGUCCUUAGUUGCCAGCAGGUUAAGCUGGGCACUCUAAGGAGACUGCCUUCGCAAGGAGGAGGAAGGUGAGGACGACGUCAAGUCAUCAUGGCCCUUAUGGCUAGGGCUACACACGUGCUACAAUGGGGCGUACAGAGAGUU
rnacentral:rRNA from 1 species